rnacentral:rRNA from 1 species
UACGUAGGUGGCAAGCGUUGUCCGGAAUUAUUGGGCGUAAAGCGCGCGCAGGCGGCCUUUUAAGUCUGAUGUGAAAUCUUGCGGCUCAACCGCAAGCGGCCAUUGGAAACUGGGAGGCUUGAGUACAGAAGAGGAGAGUGGAAUUCCACGUGUAGCGGUGAAAUGCGUAGAUAUGUGGAGGAACACCAGUGGCGAAGGCGACUCUCUGGUCUGUAACUGACGCUGAGGAGCGAAAGCGUGGGGAGCGAACAGG